UGUUUCAAAUAGCACUUUGUCUUCAAACGAACAAGAUGGACACAUGCAGUUUACAGAAGCAAAAGAUUUGAUUUGAACUGUUUGUGAAACCACACAUACUCAAGAGAAUUUACAAGACUAUUAUCCACAAAAUGCAACAGUCUUAUUUUGAUGAAUUGUUGAACCAGAGAAAUGUGAAGACUUACAGACACCUAGACUGUAUAGUCAACAUAACAAUGAUUAGAGAAUCAGACUACAGUGAACAUUACAAUGAUUAGAAAAUCAGACUAGAGUCAACAUUACAAUGAUUAGAGAAUCAGACUAUAGUCAACAUUACAAUGAUUAGAAAAUCAGCCAGCUGCAUUUCAUCAAUCAGUUUAUGAUGAAGCUUUACAGCAUUGGAAAUGAUUACUCAGGGACCAAACAACUGAGCAGAAAGAAGAACCGUAUGACCUUGAAGAGUAAGCAAUGUAUUAAGUAUAUUUGGGGUUACCAAAGAGUAUGGUAAGAACCUCAUCUUAAAUUAUACUUGGUGAGUAUUCUUAUUGUUGGUUAAAUAUUAAGCAUCAUUAUGGAAAAUGGGGGAUCAAGGGUAUACACCAACAAGACAGUGACCAAAGGAAAAUAAAUAACCAAACCAUCUAGAGGUUUCAACUAUAGUCUGAUGUUUAUACAAUACGUGAACUUGUAAAUCAUCCAAAGUCUAAAAUAUUUGUGAAUAAAAUGAACAGACUGACAAAUAACUUACAUACACACAAAUAUCUGACCUAAGCACAUGAGCAUGUUGCAGGGUGAAUUUUUUUUUUAAAUAAAGCUUGAGCCUGUUUUGUGCAAUGCCUAACCAUUUAACGACAAAAUUUCAUACAGAAAACUUUUCAAAUUGAGGGGUUUCAAAUUUUAAAUAAGCCAAUUUAUGGUUUAAAAAAAUAAUGGAAAUCUUGACUCCCCAACAAGAGAAAAAUGUCACUCUUAUCAUUGAGGAAAAUGGCCACUACCUGAAUGGUCUUUAGAAUUAAUUCAGUUGCUCUGGUCAUUUUUCAAAAUUUAACAAUGUAAGUAAAUAUGGAGUUGUUUGAUCAAUGGGAGAUAACUCUGACCACAUGGAAUAAUUCUGAAAACUUAAAGAGGGGUCCUGAUCCAGAAAUCCCGGCCUUAAAAACACAAAAUCCUGAGCUCUCGAAAUUUAAAUAAAUUUAGAUCCUGACAUCAAGAAAUUAAAAAAAAAAACUUUAUCCUGAAGGGGUCAAUCCCUAAAUCCUGUGCUUUAAAAUACCAGAUUCCUGAGUCCCAAUAUAGGUCCUAUCCCCCUCACAUAUAUAAUUGAUAACUUAGAUAAAAGAAAUACAGAAAUUGUUUUGCCUUUUGCCAUGCUUACAAUCAACAAAAGAUUUUUUUCUUCAUUUUUCAAAAUAAAUUCCAAGACUAAGAUGUAGGAUGCCAUUCUUCUAACAAAAUACCACAGCAUGGAGACCCUAAUCAGCACACUAAAAUGUCCAAACGUGUGUCCUACAUCUUGAAAUAAAUAUAAUUUUAUAAAUGUUCAAGUAUCUUCAAAAACAUUUUUUACUCAUUUCUACUCUGUUGAGACAAUUUCACUAGCACUGCACUUUGACUUUGACUAAGACAAACACAAUGUUGAUUGAAGUUGAAUGGUACUAGUGACAACUUUGUUGGAGACAUGGAAAGCAUUUGGUCAUUGUUAGUAGUUUUAUGGGCUUUCACCUCUUGAGUCACAAAGAACCUUAUGUACGUUAGUUCCAUUGAAAUGUUAUAUGCAUUGUCAAUGCUAAACAUUUGAUUGACUUUGACUGAUUUUUUUUUAGUUUCGUCAGAGUGUAAAUGAGUUUGAACAAAAGGCAAUAUAACCUUUUUUUAG